GGAAUUUUCCGCAAUGGGCGAAAGCCUGACGGAGCAAUGCCGCGUGGAGGACGAAGGCCCGUGGGCUGUAAACUCCUUUUUUCAGAAAAGAAUAAUGACGGUAUCUGAAGAAUAAGUAUCGGCUAACUCUGUGCCAGCAGCCGCGGUAAGACAGAGGAUGCAAGCGUUAUCCGGAAUUAUUGGGCGUAAAGCGUCCGUAGGUUGUUUAAAAAGUAUUCUGUUAAAGAUUAGAGCUUAACUCUACAUAUGCGGGAUAAACUUUUAGGCUUGAGGUUGGUAGAGGCAGAGGGAAUUUCCGGUGAAGUGGUGAAAUGCGUAGAUAUCGGGAGGAACUCCAAUGGCGAAAGCACUCUGCUGGGCCAAUGCUGACACUGAGGGACGAAAGCGAGGGGAGCGAAUGGGAUUAGAUACCCGGGUAGUCC
rnacentral:rRNA from 1 species